UAGGGAAUCUUCGGCAAUGGACGGAAGUCUGACCGAGCAACGCCGCGUGAGUGAAGAAGGUUUUCGGAUCGUAAAGCUCUGUUGUAAGAGAAGAACGAGUGUGAGAGUGGAAAGUUCACACUGUGACGGUAUCUUACCAGAAAGGGACGGCUAACUACGUGCCAGCAGCCGCGGUAAUACGUAGGUCCCGAGCGUUGUCCGGAUUUAUUGGGCGUAAAGCGAGCGCAGGCGGUUAGAUAAGUCUGAAGUUAAAGGCUGUGGCUUAACCAUAGUACGCUUUGGAAACUGUUUAACUUGAGUGCAAGAGGGGAGAGUGGAAUUCCAUGUGUAGCGGUGAAAUGCGUAGAUAUAUGGAGGAACACCGGUGGCGAAAGCGGCUCUCUGGCUUGUAACUGACGCUGAGGCUCGAAAGCGUGGGGAGCAAACAGGAUUAGAUACCCUGGUAGUCCACGCCGUAAACGAUGAGUGCUAGGUGUUAGACCCUUUCCGGGGUUUAGUGCCGCAGCUAACGCAUUAAGCACUCCGCCUGGGGAGUACGACCGACANAGGUUG
rnacentral:rRNA from 1 species